AGUGGGAUAACUGGGUCAAAUGGUGGUUCCAUUCCUAGAUUUUGAGGAAUCUUCAUAUUGCUUUCCAGAAUGGUUGCACCAAUUUGCAGUCCCACCAACAAU
rnacentral:pre_miRNA from 1 species